rnacentral:tRNA from 1 species
GACCGCGUAGCUCAGUUGGUAGAGCAUUGGGCUAGUAUUCGAAAGGUCGUAGGUUCGAUUCCCACCGUGGCCA